UGGGGAAUAUUGCACAAUGGGCGCAAGCCUGAUGCAGCGACGUCGCUAGGGGGAUGACUUCCUUCGGGUUGUAAACUCCUUUCGCUAGGGACGAAGCUUUUUGUGACGGUACCUAGAUAAGAAGCACCGGCUAACUACGUGCCAGCAGCCGCGGUAUUACGUAGGUUGCGAGCGUUGUACGGAAUUACUGGGCGUAAAGGGCUCGUAGGUGGUUUGUCGCGUCGUCAGUGAAAUUCCGAGGCUUACCUCCGGGCGUGCAGGCGAUACGAACAUAACUUGAGUACUGUAGGGGUAACUGGAAUUCCUGGUAUAGCAGCGAAAUGCGCAGAUAUCAGGAGGAACACCAAUGGCGAAGGCAGGUUACUGAGCAAUUACUGACGCUGAGGAGCGUAAGCAUGGGUAGCGAACAGG
rnacentral:rRNA from 1 species